UCAUGUAUCAUUUCAUGGACAAAGCGCAUCCUAUGAGUGGAUCGAGUCCAGAUAAGUUCUGACAUUCCCCUGGAGAGUCCUGCAGAGCCGUAUCUCUGGAAAGGAGAAGCAGAGGUGGCUGCAGCCCUCGUGGAGGAUGAGAGAACACACCCACAGGAGCCAGAAUCACUGCAUUUCAUCUCACUUCAGAAGUCCUCAAAUGCAAGAAGAACCACCAGGGAGCAGGAGGAAGAGAAGGAGGAAGAAGACAAGAAUUCUGCCAUCACAUGGUGAUCCAUCA
rnacentral:lncRNA from 1 species